AAUUCGAUUGAGUUUGAUCAUGGCUCAGGACGAACGCUGGCGGCGUGCUUAACACAUGCAAGUCGAACGAGGUCUUCGGACCUAGUGGCGAACGGGUGAGUAACACGUGAGGAACGUGCCCCAGAGACCGGGAUAAGCCGAGGAAACUUGGUCUAAUACCGGAUGUCCCCACCGGAUCGCAUGGUCUGAUGAGGAAAUGGAUUCCGCUCUGGGAGCGCCUCGCGGCCUAUCAGCUAGUUGGUGGGGUAACGGCCCACCAAGGCGUCGACGGGUAGCUGGUCUGAGAGGAUGAUCAGCCACACUGGGACUGAGACACGGCCCAGACUCCUACGGGAGGCAGCAGUGGGGAAUCUUGCGCAAUGGGCGAAAGCCUGACGCAGCAACGCCGCGUGCGGGACGACGGCCCUCGGGUUGUAAACCGCUUUCAGCAGGAACGAUGAUGACGGUACCUGCAGAAGAAGCUCCGGCCAGCUACGUGCCAGCAGCCGCGGUAAUACGUAGGGAGCAAGCGUUGUCCGGAUUUAUUGGGCGUAAAGAGCUCGUAGGCGGUUCGGUAAGUCGGGUGUGAAAACUCUGGGCUCAACCCGGAGAGGCCACUCGAUACUGCCGUGACUUGAGUCUGGUAGGGGAGCACGGAAUUCCUGGUGUAGCGGUGAAAUGCACAGAUAUCAGGAGGAACACCGGUGGCGAAGGCGGUGCUCUGGGCCAGUACUGACGCUGAGGAGCGAAAGCGUGGGGAGCGAACAGGA
rnacentral:rRNA from 1 species